rnacentral:rRNA from 1 species
UACAGAGGGGGCAAGCGUUGUCCGGAAUUACUGGGCGUACAGCGCGCGCAGGCGGUCAUGGACGUGCCGUGUGACAGACGUCGGCUCAACCGACGUAGGCCAGGGUACACGACAUGACUGGAGACAGAGAGAGGAAUGUGGAAUACCCGGUGGAGCGGUGAAAUGCGUAGAGAUCGGGUGGAACACCAGGGGCGAAGGCGGCAUUCUGGCUCUGUUCUGACGCUGAGGCGCGAGAGCGUGGGGAGCAAACCGG